rnacentral:tRNA from 1 species
GAUAUAGCUCAAUUGGUAGAGUGCUUGCCUUGAAUGCACAAGGCCCUGGGUUCUAAUCCCCAGUAUC